UUAUUGUUUAAAUUCCAAACCAUAUGGUUUAUUUAGGGACAAAAAUAAUAUCAAAGAAUAUAUGUUUAAUGUACACAACUUAUUGUUUAAAAUAUAAUAAACUGUUUAUUUAUAAUUCUUUUUUUUACCAUAUGAGAUUCCAUAAAACCCUCACCCAGUCUCUAGCUUCGUUCUUCUAGCACAGCGUCAAUCUUACUUAUCUAAAGAUUAGUUCUCGAUGCAUCCUUCGUAUUCAUCCCCUUGAGCAUAACUUUCGCCAUCUGGACAACAGCCGUAUCUUGUAC